GACGAACGCUGGCGGCGUGCUUAAUACAUGCAAGUCGAACGGAAAGGCCCUGCUUUUGUGGGGUUCUCGAGUGGCGAACGGGUGAGUAACACGUGAGUAACCUGCACUUGACUUUGGGAUAACUUCAGGAAACUGGGGCUAAUACCGGAUAGGAGAUUCUGCUGCAUGGUGGGGGUUGGAAAGUUUCGGUGGUUGGGGAUGGACUCGCGGCUCAUCAGCUUGUUGGUGGGGUAGUGGCUUACCAAGGCUUUGACGGGUAGCCGGCCUGAGAGGGUUACCGGCCACAUUGGGACUGAGAUACGGCGCAGACUCCUACGGGAGGCAGCAGUGGGGAAUAUUGCACAAUGGGCGGAAGCCUGAUGCAGCAACGCCGCGUGCGGGAUGACGGCCUUCGGGUUAUAAACCGCUUUCGCCUGAGACGAAGCGUGAGUGACGGUAAUGGGUAAAGAAGCACCGGCUAACUACGUG
rnacentral:rRNA from 1 species